UACGAAGGGGGCUAGCGUUGCUCGGAAUUACUGGGCGUAAAGGGCGCGUAGGCGGACAGCUUAGUCAGAGGGGAAAGCCCAGGGCUCAACCUUGGAACUGCCUUUGAUACUGGCUGUCUUGAGUUCGGGAGAGGUGUGUGGAACUCCGAGUGUAGAGGUGAAAUUCGUAGAUAUUCGGAAGAACACCAGUGGCGAAGGCGACACACUGGCCCGAUACUGACGCUGAGGCGCGAAAGCGUGGGGAGCAAACAGG
rnacentral:rRNA from 1 species